UCUUGGCUAGUGCUGGGCGUGUGGGUUGUUUAGUUGGUCAGGUCUGAGAAGAAGCAGCCAGGGCGAUUUUAAUGCGGGUCAGUGCUAGCUACAAAAU
rnacentral:SRP_RNA from 1 species